ensembl:lncRNA
AUGGCUUCAAGAGUCCCCUGUGCAGAUAUAAACAUAUCAGAAGAUUCAUCUGGCAUUAAAAACAAAGAUUCCAUUGAGCAGGAAGAUCACCAACUCUGCCCUCCCUGGCAUCGGACUAUGCUGCAGGUUGUAUGGGCAGGAAACAUCCUUUUCCUGGUGACAGUGAUAGUGAUGCGUGCUUUGGUUGUGAAUAAAUCUCUUCAAGAACAGACUGUGGAUGCAAAUGCACAUCAAGGCAAUGAAGGAAACAACACACUGGAGACUUUCAAGUUUUUGCUAAAACAAAAUCUGUGUGAAACUUCAACAUGGACAGGUAAAUUCAUUUUAUGUACUUUAGUCACCAUAUCAUAUACUACUAGGCAUGUGCGAUUAAAAAAAGGUUCUAAACUGUGUUCAAAAGUAGGGGGCGCUGGCGCUUUGUUUCUAAACUGCUUACCAAAUUUUGGAGCUAAAAAUUUCAAAACUUUAUUAAACUUCCAAAUCUUCGUAAGUACUUCGUAAGUUAGUGGCAGUCACGCAUGUGCAUUAAGGAAAACAUUACGGUCAAUUGGGAAACUUGAGGGGCUUCUCUCUUCCUCAUUUUUGAGUUAUCCAAAUGAAACUUGCUACAGAGAUAGAACACAUUUACUACUGUGAGCUCACUACAUUUCAGAAUAUUUGACCUAUCCACAGAUUUAUGGUGAAUUUUCAACAUUUUUAUUUAAAAAAGCAUUUUUAAUAAUAAAGAAAAUCUGUUCCUGAUUUGAAAGUAUUAUUUCCUGUUUCAUUGGGUUAUCUUUACUUUGAAAGGCAUUGUCCUAAUCCAGAAAAUUUGUUUUUUGUGGCAGUAUCUUUGUUAAAUUGGUGGAGAGAGACUCAACAAAGCAAAAUGUGCUACAGUAGAGUCUCACUUAUCCAAGCUAAAUGGGCCAGCAGAAGCUUGGAUAAGCGAAUAUCUUGGAUAAUAAGGAGGGAUUAAGAAAAAGCCUAUUAAACAUCAAAUUAGGUUAUGAUUUUACAAAUUAAGCACCAAAACAUCAUGGUAUACAACAAAUUUGACAGAAAAAGUUGUUCAAUACACAGUAAUGUUAUGUUGUAAUUACUGUAUUUACAAAUUUAGCACCAAAAUAUCAUAAUAUAUUGAAAACAUUGACUACAAAAAUGGCUUGGAUAAUCCAGAAGCUUGGAUAAGCGAGGCUUGCUUAAGUGAGACUCUACUGUAUUUAUAAGACAAUGUCCCUCGUGCAAAGACAAUGUUUUGGCAGUAUAAAAAAGUUUUGCCAUGUUUUUAUGACAGAACCAAUUAGGAAAUGACAUUUAUCACCCAGGAACAGAAAUCAUAGUACAGAUACCAUCAUGGGACAUCUAGACUGACCUCCUUCUUCUGGGCAGUAAGGCACCAUCCAAACUCUCCUGACAUUCCAUUAAUAUGUUUUCUCUUGAGUUAGAUGGAAACCCCAACUCAAUAAUUUGGGUCAUUAUUUUUUCCAGCCCAGCACAGAGAUUAGCUUACUGAGAUCAUAGAAUCAGAGUUGCAAGAUACCUUGUCGGCCAUCCAGCCCAACCCCCUGCCAAGAAGCAUUCUACGCAUUCUAUGAUUCUAUGAUUAGCAGGAAUGUAUUGAUGGUUAAAGUGGUUUGGCACUGAAACCCAUUGCCUAGAUUGUGGAGUUUCCUCCUCUGGAUCAUAUCUUCACAAAGCGGUUGGGCAAGUACCUAUUGAGGAUGCUUUAGCUCAGGCAUAGGCAAAUUUCAUCCCUCCAGUUGUUUUGGACUUUAUCUCCCACAAUUCCUAACAGGCUG